AUUUGAGAUGCGGAACAUAACAGAACAAAAGAUGAGGAAGUGAAGUUGUUUGAUGUGAUGUCAUCAUGUCCAACAACAAUAGCAAGAAGCGCCGCCAUGCUCCGCCCGCGGCACCCGACGCCGUUUUCCGAAUAGUGUGUCCGGCUGCAAAGACGGCGGACGUAGCGGCUAUCGGCGGCGACGGAGCUAAGAUUCUGGUGGAGGACUUGGUCGGCGCGGAGGAGCGCGUGGUUGUUAUCGUGGGCGACGAGUCUGCUGCGCAGGUUGCGUUGAUUAGGGUUUUGGAGAGAACGAUGGAUGAAGAAACUAAGAAUUCGACAGUGUCGUGUAAAUUGGUGGCCCCCAGCUAUCAGGUUGGAUGUGUUCUCGGCCGUGGAGGCAAGAUCGUCGAAAAGAUCCGGCAAGACACUGGGGCCCACAUUAGGGUUUUGCCCAAAGAUCAACCUCCUCCUCCUCCCGGAGACGAAUUCAUCCAGAUAACUGGAAACUUUGGCGCAGUAAAGAAAGCGGUUCUAUCUGUUUCAGCUUGUCUUCAUGAGAACAAUUAUGGUGCCUUUAAGCCUUCUGGAGGAGGUUCAUAUGCUCCUCCUGAUCAUCAUUCCAGAGGUGCUUAUUCUGAAAGUGCUGGACAUUCUUCUCAUAGGAUGUUUGUGGAAGAGGAGGUUGUCUUCAAGCUCUUGUGUCGCCAUGAUAAAGUUGGUAGCCUUAUUGGCAAAGGUGGUUCUGUAGUGCGGGCUCUCCAGAACGAAACUGGUGCAUCUAUCCAAAUUGUGGAGGCCGGACCUGAUUCGGAUGAGCGUGUUGUUGUCAUAUCUGCACAAGAGACAUCAGAGCAAAAACAUUCUCCUGCACAAGAAGCUGUCAUCCGUGUUCAUUGUCGACUCACAGAGAUUGGAUUUGAACCAAGUGCUGCAGUUGUUGCUAAGCUUCUUGUGCGUUCACCACAGGUGGGCUGCCUCUUGGGCAAGGGAGGUCUUGUUAUAUCUGAAAUGCGAAGGGCCACAGGUGCUAGUAUUCGCAUUUUUUCAAAGGAACAGAUUAAAUACAUUUCCCAAAAUGAAGAAGUUGUACAGGUUAUUGGGAGCUUGCAAUCUGUACAAGAUGCUUUGUUUCACAUAACCAACAGAAUUCGGGAAACCAUUUUCCCAAUAAGGACUCCUCCAAAUUUUAGUGCACCACCACAUUUUCCACCAUUUCCAGAAAUGCCACCUCCUUUAUUUAGGCCAAGAAAUCACUUGAUGUCCUCUGGCCACCCUCCUCCUCCUCAAGUUGGGCACCCUCAUGACCAUUCAACUGUUCCCCCCAUGCCUGUUGACCAUCAGCAGCAUGCAUUUGUACAUGGUAUGGGACGUGGUCCACCAAACAUGGAUCGAGUUCCCUAUCCUCGUGGUUAUGAAGGACCAAAUUCUCCAAGAUCGUGGAAUCCUCUGGUCAGUUUCACUUUUCAGAUACAGGGGUUAAUGCCUGGGAAUCUUCAUAUCUAUGGCUGUUGACAGAGGAAAUCCAGGAGGAACAGCUGAUACUUCUAGUUUGACCUCUAGAAAUGAGACCCCUGUAAAGAACGGAAAUCCAUUGCAGAAUCCAAAUAGCUUAACUAUUGAGAUCACCAUCCCAUAUAUGUAUUUAACUCACGUGUAUGGGGAGAACAAUAGCAACCUAACUCAGAUUCGACAGACGUCUGGUGCAAACGUGGCUGUUCAUGAUUCAAAACCUGGAGCCACUGAGGGUCUGGUGAUUGUGUCUGGAGCACCAGAUCAAACUCACGCUGCUCAAUGCCUAAUUCAAGGUUUCAUUUUGUGUGGGCAGACUGUAGCUUGAGACUGCAAGAACAAGAGGCAAUCUAAAAAUUAAAAUCCACGCAGCAAAUCUUGUAAUAGAUAUUCCAUUCGUGAUGGAUUAAGGAUUUAUGUCAAGGUUGUCGUACCAUUUUGUGAAUUGCACGUUCAAUUAGUGUAAUUUAUUUGUUCUUUCCAGGCCGCUUGA